GACAGAGGAUGCAAGCGUUAUCCGGAAUGAUUGGGCGUAAAGCGUCUGUAGGUGGCUUUUCAAGUCCGCCGUCAAAUCCCAGGGCUCAACCCUGGACAGGCGGUGGAAACUGCCAAGCUGGAGUACGGUAGGGGCAGAGGGAAUUUCCGGUGGAGCGGUGAAAUGCGUAGAGAUCGGAAAGAACACCAACGGCGAAAGCACUCUGCUGGGCCGACACUGACGCUGUAGAGCGAAAGCGUGGGGAGCAAACAGG
rnacentral:rRNA from 1 species